UCCCUCCCUAUCCCUUUCCCAUUAGAUCUGAAUACCGAUCUGAUGGUCAAAAAGGAGGGAAAGUAAAAUGCAAGCUGGUCUUGACCUCUUUAUGGGGAGUGAGGCUGGCUUGAAACAACU